CACACGCGCUGCUUUUGCUAUGCUUGAAACCCAUUUGUGGCUUUUAAUCUUUUGAAAUCGCUGUGGGAUUUCAAUAUAUAUAAAGCUCAAUGGAUUCCGGUGCUAUGUUGCGUUGCCUCUAUUGGAUUACUCUAUUGAUCGCCACGCUUAUUCGUGGAAUAAACGCGGAUAAAAGUUCAGCCCUUUGUUUGAAAUCCGAAUUCUGGAACAAAGAUGUCGCACAAUGUGUACCUUGUUAUAUAUGCAAACAGUACCCGAAAACUCCAUCAUGUGACACAUGCCCACCCAUAGUGCCUUCGAAUUCCUGGAGGGUGGCAGCAAUUACCAGUUUAUCUGUCCUGGCAGCCGUAAUUGUUAGCGGAGCCUUGCUCAUAGGCGUUCUAGUACAUCAAUGCAGGUCCAAGAGGACCUUACGUGAACCGAUUGAAGAGACAACAGGACCCCUUUAUCCAGUAUAGGUUCUUCAUAAGCUCAUGGAACUCAAGCUGACAGCAUAUGAAAAUGGACUGUUACUCCAGUGAAUUAAUGCUCCAGUCGGUUAAACACAGGCUGGUACCUCAACCACAGAGUGUUCUAUGAGUAGCAUCUGAUUUGUCUAAUUUAUUACAUUAGUAGGCUAUGUCAUGCAUAGCAAAUGGUUAUGCAAAAAAGCUGCACUGAGACCUUCCUUGUCACUCACUGUGCAGAACAGGUUUGCAAGCCUUAGGUGCUACGUGACAUCCUAUAGACAUCAAGAACGCAUAUUUUAUAUUCCUUUUUGUGGAACCCCUAAAAUGCUUUAGCGACAGUUUUUGCCAAGAUUUGUGGCCAUUCAUGCUGUAGAUGCAUUUCCACCUGAAUAUUCCUUGUUAGAUUUGCAAACACGAUAAGCACAAAUAACCGAAACUAGUUUAACAUAGCAGACUUAGAGAUGCUACUUUUUACACAAAUAUGCCUUAUAAACAGACUUAGCAUGGCACAUAGCCAUUUGAAUGUAUUUGUAAUCUUUGUACAACAAUAUUCUGACACUGACUGGCUCAGCAGCCCGUCUAUGGCAUUGAUGAACAUUCUGGAGAUGUGGAGGCACUGAAGACCAGCGAAGACAAAGCAUCCGAUGACCUGAAAGUGAAGAGUUGCCAGCUGACAUUAACAGAUUCUUUAAAAGAGCUGCAGGUGUCAGAUUCAAUCUUAGUUUUCCUACCUUUAUGCGCAUAAGAGAUUAGAUAGUUUAGUGUGAUAUUUACAUACAUCUAUCGUGAUGCAUUUAAUCUCUCGUGUUUUGAAGAUGUGUGUAGCCAGCUAUGGGCAUUAGGAAAUGUAUAUAUUUAUAUGCAGCAGAUGCUGAGGAGUAAUGAAAUUAACUUGUUUGAAAGACUUCAAGCAUGUUUAGAAAGAGUAAAGGGUUAAUCUCACAAAACCUGUGAAGGAAAGGUCUGUCACAUUUCAACCCAGAAAUUAUACUUUGCUUAAAGAAAUUGUCUUUUUUUUUGGCAGUUACAUUGUUUUCAAGAAAACUAAGCACAUUUUAUAUGCCAAUUCCCAAGAAUACUUUAUGUACCUCAAUGCAAAUCACUGCCAUGUUUGUCAGAAAUCUAGAAUCAAGAAGCUAGUCCAGAAUCUUGAUAAACAUAAACCUGUGAAGCAUGCACAGCACUGUCAGUCUUGAGUAAAGUUGGUUGUGUAUAUGUGCCUUUACUCAUUCACAAUUACUCCAGACUGCAGAGGAAACUAUGCAUUUUAAUGCAAUAAAGAGACAACUAAUGUACUGUAUUUGUCUGUUGACGUUUUCUUUUCCUAAAUGUUUUCUUAAACG
ensembl:lncRNA